AUUCAAAGAAAAAGUGAAGAAAUCAAGGAAACAAGCUAGGUAGUGAGACGUCCGGAAAAGACAAAGGAAUUGCGCUUGAGGGCUAUUAGUCUGAGUGCACCCGAAAUUCGAAUUUUCGAUACCGAUCAGGUGACUGUUGGACCCCAGAUCGAGGAGUCCCC